rnacentral:rRNA from 1 species
AUUGAACGCUGGCGGCAUGCCUUACACAUGCAAGUCGAACGGCAGCGCGGGAGCAAUCCUGGCGGCGAGUGGCGAACGGGUGAGUAAUACAUCUGAACGUGCCCAAUCGGGGGGGAUAACGCAUCGAAAGCUGUGCUAAUACCGCAUACGAUCUACGGAUGAAAGCAGGGGAUCGCAAGACCUUGCGCGAAUGGAGCGGCCGAUGGCAGAUUAGGUAGUUGGUGAGGUAAAGGCUCACCAAGCCUUCGAUCUGUAGCUGGUCUGGGAGGACGACCAGCCACACUGGGACUGGGACACGGACAAGACUCCUACGGGACGCAGCAGUGGGGAAUUUUGGACAAUGGGCGAAAGCCUGAUCCAGCCAUGCCGCGUGCAGGAUGAAGGCCUUCGGGUUGUAAACUGCUUUUGUACGGAACGAAACGGUCUUUUCUAAUAAAGAAGGCUAAUGACGGUACCGGAAGAAUAAGCACCGGCUAACUACGUG